CAUUAUUAUGUACAUGAGUAGACUAGAGAGAGACCAAUAUGGUUUUUAGGGCAGAUACCGAUUAUUAGUCGCCAAGGACACUGCAAAAAGUGAAAUCUAGGUAAGAUUAAAUAUCUCAACUAAGGGUGAUAUUUGCUUAUUUUCUGUCUGAUAAGAUAAUUAUUUUCUCACUAAGCAGAGUUUAUGUUAGUGUUUUACUUGUUUUAAGGGUUUUGGUUCUAAAUUAUCUCAGUAAGAUAUUACAGCUUGUUGCUUAGAUUUGAUGACCUAUAUUGAGUAAAACAAACUUGAAACUAGAAUAUGAACUGUUGCAAAGCUGUGUCAUUAACAUUCAAAAGUAUAAAAGUACUUUUUUAAAGUAGUUAUUUCUUAUUUCAAGCAUGAAAAAAAAAUCAUGACUUUGACACAAUUGUGUGUCAUAUUAAAACAGAUGACAGCCAAAUAAAGUUAAAGUACCAACGAUUGUCACACACACACUAGGUGUGGUGAAAUUUGUCCUCUGCAUUUGACCCAUCCCCUUGAUCACCCCCUGGGAAGUGAGGGGAGCAGUGGGCAGCAGCGGUGCCGCGCCCGGGAAUCAUUUAUGGUGAUUUAACCCCCAAUUCCAACCCUUGAUGCUGAGUGCCAAGCAGGGAGGUAAUGGGUCCCAUUUUUUAUAGUCUUUGGUAUGACUUGGCCGGGGUUUGAACUCCAAACCUACCGAUCUCAGAGCGGACACUCUAGCCACUAGGCCACUGAGUAGGACUUUGGUGUUUUAUUUUCAAUGAAACAAUAGAAAAUACGUCCUCAUACAGUAGUACAGUUGUUAUUAUUGAGAAUAUACUUAUUUUAAAGUAUUUUUGGGUUCAUUGAGGUUAGUUAAUUUUACUUGGUUUGGAAAGUCUUGACAAGCCAAAUGUUCUUGUUCUGUAGGCAGAUAAUUGUGCUUAGUUCAAAUAAAAUACCCCUACUUUUUGCAUUUUUUUUUUCUUGUUUUUGAACAGGGGAGGCCGAUAACCGAUAUUUGGAACCAAUAAUCAUUUGCAGUAAAGUAUUUAAAGUCAUGAAUAGUAUUUGUCAGUAAACAGCUAGACAAAACUUGAAGUUGUUUUUAAUUCACUUUUUUUUUUUAAACGUUGCAUCAGUAGUGACAAUGUUUAAUGCAUCGCUAAUGUUGUGGUUAAUUUAGCAGCCAACAGUUCACAAACACUUACUACAUGUGUUUAAGAGGAGCAUCAACAUUUGCAUUUCAAAUGAUGGUAUGUAUUGGAAAAUUGUUAAAAAAUACGGGAUUUUGCUACAUCAAAAUAACUUGCCAUCUACUCAGUUUUACAAAAUUGUAUAACAGUUUAUGGAUUUAAUACAUUGGAAGGUUUCCUCUUGAAGAACCCUGAAAUAUUUAACAUUUGAGUAAAAUCAAUUCUGAGCACCUUAUACAAGAGCCAAUUUUAAAGCUGACUGACAUAAUUUCUUCCUAGAUGUUACAGACAGUAUGAAAAUGUGUCAGCUGCUGCCGGCUCUUCUUUACUAAUGUAAUAAGUCUAAUAUUUGUCAAUAAAUUUACUUAACCUUGUGAUUUUUGAAAGGGAUAUCUUUUUUGUCUUCGGGUCCAUCUCCGUCCUGUUAUUUGACUGAAUCACUAGCAUGAAACUCACCGCACUCCAAUAACGAACCCACGCUCAGUGUUGUGGACGGAGGCUCGAUGAAACAGACAAAACGGAAUCGAUAAAACGCUGGGACAGAAGGACAAAAUCUGGAUUUCCUGGCAAAAUAUGAAAGUUCUGAAAGUUUUUCACUGCUGCAGUCGAAAAAAUAGGCAACUCUUCAUUUGCGGGGCAAAAUGGCUUUUGCAAAUACCUACUUGACUAAUUAUGUAUUUUGAAAUAUUAAAAACUGGUAUAGUAUGUGUAUAUAAUGUAUCUGCUGAUGUAGUUGUAAACAUUUGGUUUGUUUUUUAAAAAAAUGACUGAUACCAAUAUACUUUAAAAUGCCAAAUAUCAACGCCAAUUAUUGGAUCUCGAGAGAAGACAUAAGGAUAUACGCCUCACCAGCAACGAAUAAACAGUUUUCGCGCACAAAGCAUACUUUUACAUACAAACUUACCAGUUGUUUGUGGUUUCAAUAACUCAGGGGUGGACAAUGUCCCUCGAAAUCCCUCUUCAUGCUCUUCACUCUCCCCCUCCAGCUCAUAGGCAGGGUUGCAGAACACGUUCUGAAAUUAGGUAAACAUGGUUGGCUACUAGGAGCUAGCAGCUUCACAAUAAUAGCACACAAGCUAGACAUAUGUAAUAAGGGUUCUUAAUUGAAAAAUAUUGCAGUCUAAAGCAUGAUAUUUGACAAAAUAAGCAAGUUGUUGUGAUCCGCUUCCCGUAUCACAUUUUGAUUUCGGUUUUUGAGUCCUUUUGUAUUCUUGGUUUGUUUUGGACUUUUCCGAUUCUUAGUUUGUGCACUUCCUUGUUUGUUCCGUUACCAUGGUUUCGUAUUUGUUCCACCUGCUACUUUCGGUUGACGCGCACCUGUGUUUUGAUUACUGCCUGUUUUUAAGCCUGCCUUCUACCUCAGUUAGAUCUGGAUCCUUUGUUUGAGCCCCUGGAUUGAAGUUACAUCUGGGGUACCACAAGGGGGUGUUGUCUCCUCAUAUGUCUUCCUCCUUUACAUGACUACCCGGAAUGCUGUGUUUGAGGACACCCUUGAUGUGGGGUAUGCAGACGACAUCGGGCUAUCGAGAGCGAUCCCUAUAUCCAGCAUCAUGUCAGACACAACCAUGUGCCAGGAGGCACAAAGGCUGGACGAAUGGGCAGCAAAUAAAAAAAUGAUACUUAACGGGAAGAAGUCAGUAGAACUCCGAAUAUGUUUUGCCCGUAAUCCACCACAACCUCCUGCACUGAUGUUGGGGGGACAGGAGGUCCCUGUCGUGGAAACAACAAAGUACCUGGGUUACCACCUCGACCAAAACCUCACUGGAGAUGUGCACAUCGAGAAGGCAAUAAAAACCGCCUCCAAGCGGCUGCACUAUACCUCACAGUCAUGGCGAGACAUGGACUACCUGCCGACGACCUUGUUACCAUCUACACCACUCUCAUCAGGCCGUGUCUGGAAUAUAGCUCAGUGCUCUUAGUGGGCUGCUCCAAAAAACAACAGGCAGAGCUAGAGCGAGUCCAGAAACGUGCCUGUAAAAUCAUUACAAGGAGAGCUGGAAAAAAUCUCACAACCCUACCAUCACUCCAGACCGGGAGAGAGGAGGCUGCAGUGAAGCUGGUCAGGGAUAUGCAUGAUCAACAUCUUUUGCAUGACCUGCUACCUCCAACACGAGGCAGCCGCACUGCCAGGACAUUGAGGAACCAACAUAAGCUGGCUGAACCCGAGCCCAGAGCAAAGACAAAGAGACUUAAAAACUCUACCCUGCACGCUGCAAUUAAGCUGUAUAAUGACACUAAUUAAAUAAGUAACAUAGUUAUAUACCAGAAUGCUAACAGUUUCCAUGAUGCUGCUGCCCUGAGGAUGUUCAAAAUUUUUAAAAUACUGUUUGUUCUUUUAGUUUUUUAUUGUUGUUUGUUUGAUAACUAUUGUAAAGUUCACCUGUUUUUUCAGUGGGGCCAUGGCUCCACUGCAAGCAUGAAUAAAUAAAGUCAAGUCAAGUAAUUUAUUCAAAUCAGGCUGAUGGUGAAUGGAGAUUAAAAAAGCCCCACAAAACA